CCUACGGGUGGCAGCAGUGAGGAAUAUUGGUCAAUGGGCGCGAGCCUGAACCAGCCAAGUCACGUGAGGGAAGACGGUCCUAUGGAUUGUAAACCUCUUUUGCCGGGGAGCAAAAGACGCCACGCGUGGCGUUCCGAGAGUACCCGAAGAAAAAGCAUCGGCUAACUCCGUGCCAGCAGCCGCGGUAAUACGGAGGAUGCGAGCGUUAUCCGGAUUUAUUGGGUUUAAAGGGUGCGCAGGCGGAAGAUCAAGUCAGCGGUAAAAGUGUGAGGCUCAACCUCUUCGAGCCGUUGAAACUGGUUGUCAUGAGUGAGUGAGAAGUAUGCGGAAUGAGUGGUGUAGCGGUGAAAUGCAUAGAUAUCGCGCAGAACUCCGAUUGCGAAGGCAGCAUACCGGCGCUCAACUGACGCUCAUGCACGAAAGUGUGGGUAUCGAACAGGAUUAGAUACCCUGGUAGUC
rnacentral:rRNA from 1 species